rnacentral:rRNA from 1 species
UGGGGAAUUUUGGACAAUGGGCGCAAGCCUGAUCCAGCCAUGCCGCGUGAGUGAAGAAGGCCUUCGGGUUGUAAAGCUCUUUCGGCUGGGAAGAAAUCGCACUCUCUAAUACAGGGUGUGGAUGACGGUACCAGCAUAACAACCACCG